CCUACGGGAGGCAGCAGUGGGGAAUAUUGCACAAUGGGCGCAAGCCUGAUCUAGCCACGCCGCGUGGGUGAAGACGUACCCCUGUAUGUAAAGCCCUGUCAGCAGGGAAGAAAAUGACGGUACCUGACCAAGAAGCCCCAGCGAACUACGUGCCAGCAGCCGCGGUAAUACGUAGGGGGCAAGCGUUAUCCGGAUUUACUGGGUGUAAAGGGAGCGUAGACGGGAAGGCAAGUCUGGAGUGAAAGCCCGUGGCCCAACCACGGGACUGCUUUGGACACUGUGUUGCUGGAGUGCAGGAGGGGUAAGCGGAAUUCCUGGUGUAGCGGUGAAAUGCGUAGAUAUUAGGAGGAACACCGGUGGCGAAGGCGGCUUGCUGGACUGUAACUGACGUUGAGGCUCGAAGGCGUGGGGAGCAAACAGGAUUAGAUACCCGGGUAGUC
rnacentral:rRNA from 1 species